rnacentral:sRNA from 1 species
AAAUAGCCCCGAUUGAAGUGGAAAUCCUUCUAUAAAUUUUGAAAAAUUUUAUAAAAGAUUGCAACGGAAAGCGGGACGGACU